CCUACGGGAGGCAGCAGUGGGGGAUAUUGCACAAUGGGGGAAACCCUGAUGCAGCGACGCCGCGUGGGCGAAGAAGUAUUUCGGUAUGUAAAGCCCUAUCAGCAGGGAAGAAGAAAUGACGGUACCUGAGUAAGAAGCACCGGCUAAAUACGUGCCAGCAGCCGCGGUAAUACGUAUGGUGCAAGCGUUAUCCGGAUUUACUGGGUGUAAAGGGAGCGCAGGCGGCACGGCAAGCCUGAUGUGAAAGCCCGGGGCCCAACCGCGGGACUGCAUUGGGAACUACCGGGCUGGAGUGCCGGAGAGGUAGGCGGAAUUUAUGGUGUAGCGGUGAAAUGCGUAGAUAUUAGGAGGAACACCGGUGGCGAAGGCGGCCUACUGGACGGUGACUGACGCUGAGGCUCGAAAGCGUGGGGAGCAAACAGGAUUAGAUACCCUAGUAGUC
rnacentral:rRNA from 1 species